rnacentral:lncRNA from 1 species
AAAUCUUUGUUUUCAUAGCAAAAAUCCCCCCCUUUUACAAAUGCUUAUUUCUCAGCUUUAUAGCCGACUACAAAACUAGGAAAAUAUUGUUUAUCUUUUGUCCUAUUCUGUUUGGUCUGCUUCUGUCUUUGCAGGGUAUGGAGGAGCUGGUGGUGGAGGAGGAGCAUGCAGCGGCAGAUGGUGUCAGACGCGUGGGGGUAUGGGGCUGCUAUAGUGGAGCAGUGUAUGGGGCUAAGUACAAGUGGGGAGGGUUGCGGCUGAGUAGGCUAAGGUUUCUGAAACCCUAAGUCUGGAGUUUGGGCUUCUGGGCCUGGGUCAAGUGUUGGGUUUUGGGUAGUUGGGCUAAGGUUUGGGCAGGGGUUUUAGUGUAUUGAAAUGGAUCAAUCGGGUUUGGGUUGUAAGAGGGGGAAAUGGGCUUGGUAUUAGUGGGCCAAAAUUGGCCUACUACAAUCACAAACCAAAGCAAUAAAUAAUUUUUAACCUACAACCUGAUAAAAAACUUAAAUAGUAAAAUUAUUAAGAAAAGCUUUAAUGGAAACUUUUAGAUAAUAAUAAAAACAAGAUGCUAGUCCGAGGUUCCUCCGAUGCCAUUACGAGUCCUAGUUUUCUGCCCUGAGAGAUAAGGAAAGGGGAAAGUGAGCUUAUGACAACCCAAUGUGAGUCUAAUUUUUAAACCAUUAUAUAUAAUUGUUCAAAAAAUAAAACAUUCAAUCUAUAGCAUCAUAGCAAAUUAAGCAUAAUGUGAGAAACAUUCAGUAAUUCAAUGCAUGUACAUGUUAUGUUCAUGAUGCAAUGCAAUGCAAUUUUAAAUUUGAAGUUCCCACCCAUCCAUUCUAUCCACCCUUGAGCAUCGUUUGACACUCCAAAACACAAGUCAAUAACUCACCAUCCCCCAUUUCCUGGUGACGAUGGUCGUUCACUUGUCAUUCGUGAUGAUGACUUUUACUACAAUAAUUUACCAUUUCGGUUGCUCAGUUUCGAUGGUUUUUUAAACUAUCAUCUUGGUUUACCCGAUUUCGAUGACAUUGUCGCCUACUUCGUGCGGUACUAACUUUCGAUGUGAACUUCAAUUGUCACUUUCUCCUAUGGAACUCAUCCGUCCUCCAUACUCAUUUUCAUGUAAUCAUGCACAUAAACUCAGCAUACCAUGCUAUUUAUCAACAAUCAAUUCUAUGCUUAUCAAACACAUUU